CUUAAGAGCUGGGACUCCAUUAUAGUAACUAGGCCUAGCUCCUGUCUCCUUGGAAAUAGAUCUUGUAGGGAGAAAUUGAUGGGAACACAGCAGUUCACCUUGCUGAGCUUCUUUGGGUGGUGGGGAGAGCUUAAAAAUUACCUAGUACAGGCAAUACUUUUGUCCUUCUGUGGUAGGUUUGUCCAAUUUAAAGUCUUGCCAGUCAUAUCCAAGUUAGGCUGUAUAAUCAAUUCAUCCAGCUCAAGGCCAGCAAUCUGCUGCUUCAAAGGGCCUGCAGCUGUAGGCAGGGAGUGAUUUGGAGACUGCCUGGGUAUUUUGAUGGGACACUUCUUCUUGUAUAAUUAUCACAUGUGAAGAACUCUUUCCUUCUAUGAUGGCAAAGCCAUGUGAUCCACCUUGCCAGAGAAAUUUAUCUUUAGGCCUUGAAAGUUUCUGUUGUCCCAAUGAUUGGUAUCUCCUGGUGAGCCAUAUUGCUUUUCCCAGCUCCUGUGCCCUGUUACAGCAACCUUAAAGAACAGAAGACUUGGUGUGAGAACCAUAUGGAAGGGAAGAAGUAUCCUAGACCCAAGAUGCAAGUUUAUGGAUUGCAAGACAGGAGGCCCAAUACUGAAACAGCAUCUCACAAAAGGUGGCACAAAGCAGGAGCAUUUUGGUUGGGAUGCCACCAUCGGUGUGCUGAACAUUGCAGAAUGACAGCGACAGAGAAUGAGAGCCCUCUUCUCGCGCAUUGCUCCGUGCUGCGAACAAAACGGCGUUCUUGGUGCAGCCAAAUUGAAAACUUCUGUACAGUUGGCUCAGUUAUGAAUUUGCAGUGAGGGGUGUGUUAGCUGCUAAAUCUGUAAGCUGUGAAUUGCGUUGAGUCUUGACAUGUAGAUUAAAUGAUCCAGUAGUAGUUUUGUUUUACUUCUCUGUUGCUCAUUGUCUUCCUGCUUAGCUGCCCCGCAUGAAUUAUUCCUAACCCCAUAGGCAGAUGUUGCCUACACUGCCAGCUCACCUCCUGUACUAGUUUAGCAGCUUCAUAUCUGUCCCCUGCCUACGCCUUUAUGCUUUCUCACGUGUACUUUCUAUCCCUGAUACAAAUUUUCCCCAGAAAACCCUCCUACUCCUGUGUGUCAGUAAUUCUUUGCUCUUCUACCAUACCUUUUGUGACUUUCUCACCUAUAUCAUUAGGAUUUUGAGUAAUGAAAUAGUUUAUUUUGGCUUGUUAUGGGUGCUAUAUAUUUAUACAUGUUGGGUGGGCUAAGAUCAGUACUAUUCUUGUAGCAUUGUGCUUUUGAAAGCUGUGUAGAGGAUCCCUGUAGACCGUAAUAAAAAAGCCCUGAAUGUAUCUUAAUAUCAAUGAUGUGAGGACAGGGCCUGAGACCAGUACUUUGUGGCAUGAUCUGCAGCUAGACUAAUUACAGCAGUCCUUUGCAGCUAAACAUGUAGAUAUUGUAGGUAGAGUGUUUAUGCAUUUGUGUGAUUCUGGGAGAAAUAUCUAUUCGGAAAAUUUGAAUAACAGUUUUGGUUAAACUAAUGUUGCAGAGACUUUCCCUUUGGAAUGACGAUUUGUCAGUGGCUUAGAAUGAAUCAACUAAGAAUUUUAUACAAAUACCAAGCUGUUAUUUAAAAUGUGUCACAGCAUUGGUAGUGCACCUCUGAGCUGGUGCUAAACUCAGCGUUCAGACUUACGGUGAAUUUCCAAGCUCCGUUUUGACUGUGUGGUUUGAAACAUGGUCUCUUCUUUUGGCUUUCCUGGCAGUUUUCCAAUAAACAGUCUGGCAGCCUGUUAUGCUUUCACAGCUGUAUUAGCCCCUUUGGCCUCCCCACCAAGCCCCUGACUAGUGUCAGCUCAUCUUCUCUGAGAAUCUUGGUCCUACUGGAAAAGUCAGUUUACAAUUUAUUCUUUGGGCAUAUGACAGCUGAUAGCAAACAGACAAACACUCUUUGCACAUCAGUCACUUUUUUUCUGAAAUAGCACAAGAAAUAACACAUGCACUCCUGUACAUGUAAGGAUACAUAAGUGUACAUGCAUGUUA